rnacentral:lncRNA from 1 species
UUCACCCUUCAGACAGACACCUGUGUAGGCCCAGAUGAAGAGUGAGCCAGAUGUUAUCUAGUAGAAUGAGCUAGUGCUCAGCUGAGUGGUCUCUGUAAUUUUUAAAGUCAACUAUAAGCAAGUAAGUAAAAGGAAGCAAAUCUGGGGGGGUGGUUAUUGAAGUGCCCUCUUGGUUUCACUUAGAUCCUCAAAACCUUCACUCUUGUAAUAGUGCAGUGCCACCAUAAGUUACUGAUGAUCUGUGCUUUUAAUCACUACUUAAUGAUCUCACCACUCUCAUUUUAAACCUUUUCUUUGCUCGUGCCAGGCAGAGACUCCUUUGAUGGUUAUAAAAGAAUUAGACUGCAUGCAGGACCACCCAAAGGUAAAGCAGCGCACAUAUAUUCAUACAUUUGUGUAUGUAUGCAUUAGUCAAGGUUUGGCUCUCAGAGGAGAUGUCUUUAGAUUUCCUGAAUUCUGUGUAUUUAGGAAACAUUUCUUCACUUUCCAGUAAUCAAAGAAAUAUUUGUUCUUUACUCAUAUAACUUUAAUCAAUAGGUGAAAAUUGGGAAGGUAAUGAAAGUUUUCUUUAAAAUUUUUUUUUGGUUGACCUCCCUCCAUCCCUCCUCAUUUCAAGCAAACCAAUUUAAGCUAUAUCAUAGAAAGUUUUAGUAUACUUUGUAAUCCUAGCAUUAAUAUUAAUGUCCUAGCUGAGCACAGUUACACACACCUAUAAUUCCAGCAACUUUGGAGCCCAAGACAGGAGGAUCGCAAGUUCAAGGCCAGCCCAGCGUCAACAACUUAAGGAGACCCUCAGCAAUUUAGCAAGACCCUGUCUCAAAUAAAAAUAAUAGUAAGAAGAAAAGGACUGGGG